GGCAUAUAUGAUGACUUAGCUUUUUUCCCCGACAGAUCGACUAUGUUGAUCUAACUUUUCUAAGCCAGUUUCUGUCUGAUAUGCCAGCUUGAGCAGCUCCUUUGUCCCAGCUCCCCUGGGCAUCUAGCUGAUGGGAGCUCAUUUUUCUGUUUUUUCAUUUCAGGUUUAUUGUUGGCCAAAACCAGGCUUUGAUUGAACCAGGAUGAAUGCGGGUGUUGGAAGUAGAAUAUAUAUAUACAUAUAAAAUUGGUUGGGAGCCACGUGUACCAGUGUGUGUUGAUCUUGGCUUGAUUCAGUCUGCCUUGUAACAGAAACUGGCGAUGGAAUAUGAGAGGAGCCCUCUGGAAAGAAAAGGACAGACCCUGUGCUUUCAUGAAAGUGAAGAUCUGGCUGAACCAGUUCCACAAGGUUACUGUAUACAUAGCCUGAGUUUAAAAGGCUGUGCCCACUUCAAGAAUGUCAUUGUUAGACUUUGAAAUUUCUAACUGCCUACCUGCAUAAAGAAAAUAAAAUCUUUUAAAUCAAAA
rnacentral:lncRNA from 1 species